AGAUGAAAUCUCCGCGUAGGGCCUCCUUCUACUUGUAGUUUCCAAGCUUGUUCCACCAGUUGCAUAAAACCCUCUUGUUCAGUCCAAAGAUCUAAGAAUCUGAAAUACUUUUUAGGCUCCAAUUGUGGAUUAGAAGAGGAGAAAAGCAAAGGAGCAUGAUCAGAUCCAGUUCUGACCAAGUGUGUGACAGAGGUAUCUGCAAAAUUCUGUAACCAUUCCGAGUUAAUAAGAGCUCUAUCCAGCCUCGCGCAUAUCCUCUUAGUAGGUGCCCAGCUAUUACACCAGGUAAGAGAACUUCCAAUGUAACCAAGAUCCAAAAGUCCGCUAUCCACAAUGCAGUUGAUGAAGGGCAAGCUUUUAGACAUAUUGUGAAUUUCCCCCCUUUUUUCUCUUGAUGAUCAGUAAUAGUGUUAAAAUCCCCAAUCACCAUCCAUGGAGAGCUAACUCCAUUAAAAAAAGAUUUGAUGCUAUCCCAUAGAGUCUCCUUGAGAUGAGCUUCGCAUUUAGCAUACACUAAAGUCAUGUAUAAAGUCUCCACAUUAUUAACAAUUGAGCAAUUGAUAAGUUGAGGAAGGUGUUCAAUAACAAUGCAGUUAAUAGAGCUAUCACCAAAAAACCAUAUUUUAUUGUUGUACUUAGCAUAUGAUAAAUCAAACCCAAGUCCGCUUCUAAAUUUCUCUAACUUUUUCCUUCUGCAGAAAUCCAUGAUAGCAAUGAAUAAAAGGUUGUGAGUUCUUUUGAGUUGCUUAAGCCUGUCAAAGGCAGCUUGUGAAGUGAUGCCUCUAAUAUUCCAAAUAAGAUAAUUAAUCAUUAAAAAGAUGUAGAUUGAUCAUUAUUGUCAUGUGAAAAUUUCACAAGAGGAAUGCCUUUGUCUCUUCUAUUACAUCUGCCCUCCGUAAAGGUGAGUCCACCUCUGGUUACCUCAUGCCCCUUGGGUGAGAGGUGUUGUCUUUCAGUUACAUAUCCAAAGGCUUGAACAAUUUCAGUUGGUGGUGGUGAUUGAUGUGAGAAAGCUUCUAGUAAUCUGUUAGCAUGAUCAUCGCUGAUAGCUGAUUGAGUAUCAAUACUUUCCUCACUUUCAGACCGAUCUUCAAUGCUUUCAAAGUCAUUCUCAGAAUCACUAACAACUUGAUCAUUUUCAGCAAUUUCUGAAUCCCCCUUUCAAAUUCGAAAUCUACAUCAUCUCUUGAAAAGUGUGGUUUGUGUGCAUUUUCUGUCUAGUUUCCUAGUAAUGGAGGGCUAAUUUGUGUUGUCUUGUGGAUUUUAGGAACUGAGGUGGAUAUAUUUUGUUGUUUUUGAACAACCGAAGUAGAGGCGAUAUCAGAUUGGUAUUUUGGCUUGGUAGUACUAUCAGGGAGCAUAUGAGAACCUUUCAUAAUGGAAUACUGCACAUUAAGGCUGGUCUGAGGUGUUGUGUUUUGAGGUUUAUUAGGAAACAUUUGGAUUAACUUGGCUUGACUCAAUUGUUAGUGGAGUUGGUUGUUUUGUGCUAUGAUGCUGAUGGGUAUUAGUCUGUUGUUUGGUCUGAUUAACUUGCCAUUGCACUUUUUUUCUUUGGUCCAUUCUUGUACUUCGAUGCCCGGUGCAAUUUGGAUAUAUGUUCAACUAGAUUAUUCUUGUCCAAAAAUUGUUUCUAUUUGUCUUGUGUACCAUCAUUUGUUAGCUGUAUAGUUGGUUGAUUUUCCUAAUUUGAUUGUGAAUUUUUUCCUGUGAGAAUGACUUCCUGAUGAGGUUGUUGUGGUAGCAUAUUCAAGUUAGUAUUCCUGAUUGUGUGUUG
rnacentral:lncRNA from 1 species